rnacentral:rRNA from 1 species
GACGAACGCUGGCGGCGUGCCUAAUACAUGCAAGUCGAGCGAAUGACGAGAAGCUUGCUUCUCUGAUUUAGCGGCGGACGGGUGAGUAACACGUGGGCAACCUGCCCUACAGAUCGGGAUAACUCAGGGAAACCUGGGCUAAUACCGGAUAAUCCUUCGAAUCACAUGUUUUGAAGUUGAAAGGCGCUUCGGCGUCACUGUAGGAUGGGCCCGCGGUGCAUUAGCUAGUUGGUGGGGUAACGGCCUACCAAGGCAACGAUGCAUAGCCGACCUGAGAGGGUGAUCGGCAACAUUGGGACUGAGACACGGCCCAAACUCCCACGGGAGGCAGCAGUAGGGAAUCGUCCACAAUGGACGAAAGUCUGAUGGAGCAACGCCGCGUGAGUGAUGAAGGUUUUCGGAUCGUAAAACUCUGUUGUAAGGGAAGAACAAGUACGUUAGGAAAUGAACGUACCUUGACGGUACCUUAUUAGAAAGGGACGGCUAAAUACGUGCCAGCAGCCGCAGUAA